rnacentral:lncRNA from 1 species
GAAUCCCUUUCGACAGAAAAAUAUAUUAUUUAUACAUAAUUAAAAUUAUUUUUUAUGUAGUUAUAGUAGGCGUUGAACACCCUUUGAUUAAAUUUUCUUUGAAUAUAGAAUUCCCUUAAUUGAAAUCCUAAGUUUUGUGUGAAUAUAAAUCCCCUUUGUUGAAAUUCUAGUUCCGCUUCUGGCUGCAACUUUAAUUUUGGCGCCCCCGCCAUAAGCCCUUAGUCACUUUUACCUUUUUCAAUUAUCUAUACAUCAAUUUUUAUAUUUCUAUAAGAAUCUUUCACCUUUUUUCAUCAAUAUUUAUUGCUUUCUAAGUACUCUCAAAAAUUUAUUUAUCUUUUCUCUGAUUUAGUCCUCCCUUUUCUUGAUAUGCUAUGUUGUCCACUAACUCCAUGUUGUAAAUUAUCUUGAUUCAUUAUUAUAUCCCUGUAGUAUUUGGAUCAGCUUUCAUGCAGCUCGAUUAAAUGCAUGAGAUAUUUGUCAUUGCUCAUGAGCAACAAGAUAACAAGUAACUCUGUCCAUGUAAUUUUGUUCAGCAAGGCGAAGAAUCAACUAGUAUUUUUUUUGUCUUUGCUGCGAUUUAAACUUGAGACAGAUUAUCUCAUUUUUUUCUAGUAAACGUGGUGUUCGGAACAGUUUUCAUGCAUCUUGAUUAAAUAUACGAGAUAUUUGUCACCACCCACCGGCAACGAGCUAUAACAAGUAACUUUGUACAUGUAAAUUUGUUAGCAAGGAGAAGAUAUCACCUAGUAUUUUUUUGUCUUUGCUGCGAUUUAAACUUGAGACAGAUUAUCUUCAUAGUUCUUGAUAAUUAUCUUCAUAGUUCUUGAUAAUAGUUGUGUCUGAGUCAACUUUCGUGCACCUCGGGAUACCCACCACCCUCCGUCAGCAACAAGAUAACAGACAACUUUGUCCACGUAACUCUGUUCACCAAAGUUAGAACAGCUGGGAAGACCUACCCUUAUUUUUCUCCAUUUUGUU